rnacentral:rRNA from 1 species
AAUUUUGGACAAUGGGGGAAACCCUGAUCCAGCCAUCCCGCGUGUAUGAUGAAGGCCUNCGGGUUNUNAAGUACUUUUGGCAGAGNCGAAAAGGUACCUCCUAAUACGAGGUACUGCGUACGGUAUCUGCAGAAUAAGCACCGGCUAACGACUGGCCAUCAGCCGCGGUAAUACGUAGGGUGCAAGCGUUAAGCGGAAUUCCUGGGCGUAAAGCGUGUGUAGGCGGUUCAGAAAGAAAGAUGUUAGAUCCUCGGGCUCAAACUUGGAACUGCAUUUUUAACUGCCGAGCUAGAGUAUGUCAGAGGGGGGUAGAAUUCCACGUGUAGCAGUGAAAUGCGUAGAUAUGUGGAGGAAUACCGAUGGCGAAGGCAGCCCCCUGGGAUAAUACUGACGCUCAGACACGAAAGCGUGGGGAGCAAACA